CUCUGCUUGGCACCAGAGGCAAAGUGUCAAUCAGACGAGCAGAUCCCCAUCCAGUCACUGUGUGGCUUUGUCUGGAGUCCCGGUUCCCAUGGCAGGGCUGCCUGUGGUGGAGGACCAAGACGGGACUGGACCCCCAUGGACCCUGCUGCAGGGAUGCUCCUGUAUCUCUCUGCCCCAGCUGAGAUACCAGAUACCAGGCCUGGCUCUUCCUCAGCUCCUACCAACCUCCCGGGGCAGAGAAAACACUUUAUACUUCUUUGACAGGCAGCUUAUUAGACCCUUUCCUACUCCAAAAGGAGCUCCUGUUAACUUUUGAAGAAGCAGGGAUGUCACCACUCCCUGGAAGGCGGUGAAAAGUGCAGGGGUUUGCUGAUGUCUGCGCAUUUCAGCAAGAAACAAAGAAUAAAACAGAAGUGUCUGCUUCUGAGAGAGACUCUGGGAGACCCUCGGAGAUGUGCAGCGUUACAGUGGCCCUGUGCAACAUGCAAAGGUGGACCCCAGCCCCGCCCCGGUCCCUGGGGUAUUGUAUUAAAGGGCAGUCAGCAGGGACACUGGUCCCCUCAUGUGAGGGCCGCAGACAGGCUCCUUUGGGCAGCCUGGUAGACAGUAGACAUGAGACUGGAGUGGGGAGUUGGGAGGGAGGAACACGGCAGCAGGAAGACUCAGCCGUGGAGGUCAUGGAGGGUGAUGAGGCAAGGACUCUGGAUCCCCAUGGAAGAUGCUGGGCCUGGAAACAGGUUCCAUGUGAGUGUGAAGAGCUCCAUAUGUACAAUGAAAAUCCAGUCUUUACUUUUCUACGUGAAAUCAAAUUUAGCUAAAGGUUCAUUGGCUUGGCUAACAGGAUGGCCCAGUCAGUCGCUUUUAGGAGACUGUCUCCAGGUGAAAGCAUUGUCCCUCCAGGUACCAAAAUGUCCCACAUGGAAUCUGUGAGUAAAGGAGGCAGAUGGUUUUGGGUAAGUUGGUAGGUAUAAUUUUAACCAUCACCACUACCACCCCUUGGGUCCCUAGCCAAGUGUAUUCUGGGAGUAUCCCUAAGGGAGAACCAGCAACGCUGGGGAGAGCAUAUGCUGCAUCCCUGCACGGUGCUUCUCCAGCUGGCGUAGGAUUGGCUGCCAACAGACCAUCCCUCCCUUCUCCUGAGCUGCCUGCUUCUGGUGUUGGGAUACCUAAUAAGGUCAGGGAGUCUCAUGCGUGUAAGCCCACGGCCUGGGUUUUCUCUGUAAAGUGGGCUCCGUGGUCAGAAGACAUGUCGUGGGGGAGAACAUAAGCUGUCCAGCAAGUCCGUAGAGAGAGUGGUGGCGACAGCAUGACGACAGCAGGGGAGCCACAUCCAAAUCCGGAGCAAGUACUUGUUACAAAGGCAACGGUCACCCUUUCCCUGAUGCAGAAGUUCCAGGGCCAUCAGCCCGCCACCUGGCAGUGGGCUCCAUGCCCAGAGUCCCUCACUGCACUAAACAUCCCUGCCAGUCACCCUGUCCAUCAGGUUACAAUCCUAGGAGUUCUCAUUUCAUUUAGUCCUUACCACUGUUCAUAUGUCCUAUUUUAAGGAUAAAAAAAUGGAGGAACAGAGAGACUGAGUAACUUGCUUGAGGUCACACAGCUAGGAAGGGGUGAAGCCAACAUUGGAAGCAGGCACUCUGGGUCCAGAGUAUAGUUCUUAAUGUCCACCUUUGGUCUCAUGGUACAUCAAGUAUGUUUGGGGCUGGCUCCCACCCCCAUGCCCCUUGUGUGUGUAGAGAGAGGGGGCAUUUGGCACUCACUCCCCAGGGCCACAGCUAAUUAUCCUGGGGAGGGUACCUGACAGGGCAGGCCUGAAACCUGCAAUCUGGUGGCCUGGUGGGAAAAGUGAAUUGCGCUGACCUAGUUUCUCUCCUGGAGAAGGCUCUGGCACCCCACUCCAGUACUCUUGCCUGGAAACUCCCAUGGACGGAGGAGCCUGGUAGGCUGCAGUCCAUGGGGUCGCUAAGAGUUGGAUACGACUGAGCGACUUCACUUUCACUUUUCACUUUCAUGCAUUGAAGAAGGAAAUGACAACCCACUCCAGUGUUCUUGCCUGGAGAAUCCCAGGGACGGGGGAGCCUGGUGGGCUGCCGUCUAUGGGGUCGCACAGAGUCGGACACGACUGAAGCGAUGCAGCAGCAGCAGCAGCAGCAGCAGCAGCAGUUUCUCUCCUGGGAAUUUGAAACAGGGAAUGGGGCGUUGAUUUUGGAAGCUGAGGGGGCCCUCCUCCUUGCCCCUCCUGAGACUGUCCCUGGGCCCCAUGGUCUGGGGCCUGUCCUUAAUCUCCCUUUCCUGAGGUAACUUAGACUCUGUCCUUGAUACCCAAAUGAUUCAGCUCAGUAAUUUACUUUCUUUUAAGAAUUUAUUCAGAUCAGUUGAAAAGUGAAUAAAAAUACCUCAGUAAUGCUAGGUGAGCAUUGACCUUCUAGUUUUUCCCCUUUUCAAUUAAACAAUAUGCAGAGGGGCUUCCCUGGUGGCCCAGUGGCUAAGAAUCUGCCUUGCAACAUAG
ensembl:lncRNA